GCGCUGCUGAUGAGUCCCAUAAUAGGACGAAACGGCCGUCCAGUGC
rnacentral:hammerhead_ribozyme from 1 species